ACGCACGCUGGCGGCAUGCCUAACCCCUGCAAGUCGCACGAGACCUUCGGGUCUAGUGGCGCACGGGUGCGUAACGCGUGGGAACCUGCCCUUAGGUUCGGAAUAACUCCCCGAAAGGGGUGCUAAUACCGGAUAAUGUCUUCGGACCAAAGAUUAUCGCCUUUGGAUGGGCCCGCGUUGGAUUAGCUAGUUGGUAGGGUAAAAGCCUACCAAGGCGACGAUCCAUAGCUGGUCUGAGAGGAUGAUCAGCCACACUGGGACUGAGACACGGCCCAGACUCCUACGGGAGGCAGCAGUGGGGAAUAUUGGACAAUGGGCGAAAGCCUGAUCCAGCAAUGCCGCGUGAGUGAUGAAGGCCUUAGGGUUGUAAAGCUCUUUUACCCGGGAUGAUAAUGACAGUACCGGGAGAAUAAGCUCCGGCUAACUCCGUG
rnacentral:rRNA from 1 species